rnacentral:rRNA from 1 species
GGUGAACGCUGGCGGCGUGCUUAAGACAUGCAAGUCGAACGGCAGUCUUCGGACUGUAGUGGCGCACGGGUGAGUAACGCGUAACUGACCUACCCCAAAGUCGCGGAUAACGAUUCGAAAGAAUCGCUAAUACGUGAUGUGCUGUCAGAUUGUGUUCUGCCAGUUAAGAUUGAUUGCUUUGGGAUGGGGUUGCGUUCCAUCAGCUAGUUGGUGGGGUAAAGGCCCACCAAGGCGACGACGGAUAGCCGGCCUGAGACGGUGGCCGGCAACAGGGGCACUGAGAAACGGGUCCCACUCCUACGGGAGGAAGCAGUUAGGAAACUUCCACAAUGGGCGAAAGCCUGAUGGAGCGACGCCGCGUGAGGGAUGAAGGUCUUCGGAUCGUAAACCUCUGAAUCAGGGACGAAAGACACUUCGGUGGGAUGACGGUACCUGAGUAAUAGCACCAGCUAACUCCGUGCCAGCCGCCGCGGUAAAAC